rnacentral:rRNA from 1 species
AACGAACGCUGGCGGCAUGCCUAACACAUGCAAGUCGAACGAGACCUUCGGGUCUAGUGGCGCACGGGUGCGUAACGCGUGGGAACCUUCCCUUAGGUUCGGAAUAACUCCCCGAAAGGGGUGCUAAUACCGGAUAAUGUCUUCGGACCAAAGAUUUAUCGCCUUUGGAUGGGCCCGCGUUGGAUUAGCUUGUUGGUAGGGUAAAAGCAUACCAAGGCGACGAUCCAUAGCUGGUCUGAGAGGAUGAUCAGCCACACUGGGACUGAGACACGGCCCAGACUCCUACGGGAGGCAGCAGUGGGGAAUAUUGGAAAAUGGGCGAAAGGAUGAUCCAGCAAUGACGCGUGAGUGAUGAAGGCCUUAGGGUUGUAAAGCUAUUUUAACCGGGAUGAUAAUGACAGUACCGGGAGAAUAAGCUCCGGCUAACUCCGUG